ensembl:snoRNA SNORD18 Small nucleolar RNA SNORD18
CUCCAGUGAUGAUAUUCCACUUCAGGUCCGUGUUUCUGACAACUGAUUAUGCUGGAAGUUCUGAGAGC